rnacentral:rRNA from 1 species
UACGUAGGGUGCAAGCGUUGUCCGGAAUUAUUGGGCGUAAAGAGCGUGUAGGCGGCCCCGUUAGUCCGCUGUGAAAGUCCAGGGCUCAACCCUGGACAGGCGGUGGAAACUGCCAAGCUGGAGUACGGUAGGGGCAGAGGGAAUUUCCGGUGGAGCGGUGAAAUGCGUAGAGAUCGGAAAGAACACCAACGGCGAAAGCACUCUGCUGGGCCGACACUGACACUGAGAGACGAAAGCUAGGGGAGCGAAUGGG